rnacentral:rRNA from 1 species
ACCGUAGUUUACUACACCGUAUUCUGUGAGUUGCAAACGGGUGAGUAACGCGUAGGUAACCUGCCUGGUAGCGGGGGAUAACUAUUGGAAACGAUAGCUAAUACCGCAUAAGAACAUUUACUGCAUGGUAGAUGUUUAAAAGGUGCAGAAGCAUCACUACCAGAUGGACCUGCGUUGUAUUAGCUAGUUGGUGAGGUAACGGCUCACCAAGGCAACGAUACAUAGCCGACCUGAGAGGGUGAUCGGCCACACUGGGACUGAGACACGGCCCAGACUCCUACGGGAGGCAGCAGUAGGGAAUCUUCGGCAAUGGGGGGAACCCUGACCGAGCAACGCCGCGUGAGUGAAGAAGGUUUUCGGAUCGUAAAGCUCUGUUGUUAAGGAAGAACGUGUGUGAGAGUGGAAAGUUCACACAGUGACGGUACUUAACCUGAAAGGGACGGCUAACUACGUGCCAGCAGCCGCGGUAAUACGUAGGUCCCGAGCGUUGUCCGGAUUUAUUGGGCGUAAAGCGAGCGCAGGCGGUUAGAUAAGUCUGAAGUGAAAGGCAGUGGCUCAACCAUUGUAGGCUUUGGAAACUGUUUAACUUGAGUGCAGAAGGGGAGAGUGGAAUUCCAUGUGUAGCGGUGAAAUGCGUAGAUAUAUGGAGGAACACCGGUGGCGAAAGCGGCUCUCUGGUCUGUAACUGACGCUGAGGCUCGAAAGCGUGGGGAGCGAACAGGAUUAGAUACCCUGGUAGUCCACGCCGUAAACGAUGAGUGCUAGGUGUUAGGUCCUUUCCGGGACUUAG